GUGCGCCCAUAGCAACAGCAGAGCGGAGCAGCGAGGAAGAGGACGCGCGCGCAUGGUAAGGUCCCGGUCGCAAAUCUUCAUUUCGUCUGCGACCCGCGCGGGACGCCGACGGUGACGUCACUCACAGCCGCCGCCAGGGAGAAGGAGCAAGGCACGGGCCGGGAGGAGGAUGAGGAUCUGCUGACAAUGUGAGGAGCCUAUGAUGUCCGGGCAUCAGACUCUGCAGAGAAGAUGGAGCUGGAAGAAGUCCUGGCGUCUGGACCAGAUAAAGAAGGAAAGGAAAGACAGCAGAGAAGACAUCACUCAGGUCACUGAUAUAAUUGUGUGUUCUCCUGACUGUCCCAUCAGCUCUGGAGUCACUUGUAAGUUCCGUAGUGAUGAUGGGUGACAAU